rnacentral:rRNA from 1 species
AUGAAGGCGCGACAGUUCCUGAAUGUUGUGAUGGAGAGGUAUGGCACUGGCGGUGCCGGUGGCAGCUUGUAUACGGUCAGUCGCAUCAACGCCAAGGAACACCUCUUCUACCGAUCCACGGCCGAAGCACAGGCAGCAGAAAAAUCAAGGUUCGAUAUGGAGUGCCCAUCAUCAGCCGUUGUGCCACCAUGGAUGGAGACCAUCUCGCGGAUGCCUCCGUCCAAGCUCAGAUUCGAGCGGUCCACCUCAGACAACAAAAGACUGGAUUUCCUGCCCUUCCAUGAACGAGGCAGCGGUGCUGCGAGCAAGAUCCUCUGCGUGGACGCCGCUGGCCACACCGCCCUAUACGACAUGGACGCCGGUUCGGUCCAGCCAAUUCCAUGCCUCAACAGUCCCAAGGGGAGCAGGCCCAUCAGCUUCUCCACCACCAAUCCCGAAGCCUCUGACCGUGAACGUGCUGAUGCCUUCUACGUUAUGGGAAGGUUCCCUUCCAGCUAUGACCCCUACAACUUCGAGGUACUCAUGUACAGUAACCCUUCUAAUGGCAGGACGAUGAAAGGCUGGAAUUGGCUCAAGCUACCAACACCACCUGCCUAUGCUGACAAUUGCAUUGUCAAUUCCCAUGCGCUGCUUGAAAUUGAAGGUGACUCAAUUCUUGUUGUCUCCUCCGGAGAAGAAAGCCUUGGCACCUACUGCUUCAACACAGCCAGUCGCAAGUGGUUUAAGGCUGGCUCCUGGACACUGCCAUUCCUCAGUCGUGCUGUGCAUGUACCAGAGCUGGACAACCUCUUAUUUGGCAUUGCCAGCGAUGCACCCAACCACUUUUGUGCAAUGGGUAUCUCCCGUCUUCUCUCGAAGAGGUGUCCACCUUUAGUGUACAGUUGGCCACACCUUGAUCUGCCCGAGGACUGGAUAAUGCAAGAUUGCAGCUUUGUGUACUUGGGAAAUGGGAGGUUUUGCAUCACCAAAGUCUUUGAGUUUGGUCUGGACGAAGACACUGGCAACACGACUGAGAUGGGUGCUGUGAUGUCUGGCGUGGAGGUAGUGCAUCACAAGAAGUCUGGACUCAUCAUGGUCAACCAUAGGUCCAAAUUCUACAGGUUCUUCAGGGAUGACAUCCAAUGUGUCUUGUAA